rnacentral:tRNA from 1 species
GCGGCUAUAGUUCAGUGGUUAGAGCGUCUGAUUGUGGUUCAGAAAGUCGAGGGUUCGAAUCCCUCUAGCCGCCCCA